CCUACGGGCGGCAGCAGUGAGGAAUAUUGGUCAAUGGACGAGAGUCUGAACCAGCCAAGUAGCGUGAAGGAUGACUGCCCUAUGGGUUGUAAACUUCUUUUAUAUGGGAAUAAAAUGUUCCACGUGUGGGAUUUUGUAUGUACCAUAUGAAUAAGGAUCGGCUAACUCCGUGCCAGCAGCCGCGGUAAUACGGAGGAUCCGAGCGUUAUCCGGAUUUAUUGGGUUUAAAGGGAGCGUAGGUGGAUUGUUAAGUCAGUUGUGAAAGUUUGCGGCUCAACCGUAAAAGUGCAGUUGAAACUGGCAGUCUUGAGUACAGUAGAGGUGGGCGGAAUGCGUGGUGUAGCGGUGAAAUGCUUAGAUAUCACGAAGAACUCCGAUUGCGAAGGCAGUUCACUGGACUGCAACUGACACUGAGGCUCGAAAGUGUGGGUAUCAAACAGGAUUAGAUACCCCAGUAGUC
rnacentral:rRNA from 1 species